UGCCAGCCGCCGCGGUAACACGGGGGGCGCAAGCGUUAUUCGGAAUUAUUGGGCGUAAAGCGCGCGUAGGUGGUUGUGUAAGUCAGAUGUGAAAGUCCACGGCUUAACCGUGGAAGUGCAUUUGAAACUGUAUAACUUGAGUACUGGAGGGGGUAGUGGAAUUCCCGGUGUAGAGGUGAAAUUCGUAGAUAUCGGGAGGAAUACCGGUGGCGAAGGCGACUACCUGGCCAGAUACUGACACUGAGGUGCGAAAGCGUGGGGAGCAAACAGGAUUAGAUA
rnacentral:rRNA from 1 species